CCUACGGGUGGCAGCAGUGAGGAAUAUUGGUCAAUGGGCGGGAGCCUGAACCAGCCAAGCCGCGUGAGGGAAGAAGGUACAGCGUAUCGUAAACCUCUUUUGUCAGGGACCAAAGGCGGGGACUAGUCCCCGGAUGAGGGUACCUGAAGAAAAAGCAUCGGCUAACACCGUGCCAGCAGCCGCGGUAAUACGGAGGGUGCGAGGGUUAUCCGGAUUUAUGGGGUUUAAGGGGUGCGCAGGCGGCCUGUUAAGUCAGCGGUAAAAGCCCGGGGCUCCACCGCGGAGAGCCGUUGAAACUGGCUGGCUGGAGUUGGAGAGAAGUACGAGGAAUGCGCGGUGUAGCGGUGAAAUGCUUAGAUAGCGCGCAGAACCCCGAUUGCGAAGGCAGCGUACCGGCUCCACACUGACGCUGAGGCACGAAAGCGUGGGUAUCGAACAGGAUUAGAUACCCUUGUAGUC
rnacentral:rRNA from 1 species